rnacentral:rRNA from 1 species
GAUGAACGCUAGCGGCAGGCUUAACACAUGCAAGUCGAGGGGUAUAGUUCUUCGGAGCUAGAGACCGGCGCACGGGUGCGUAACGCGUAUGCAAUCUACCUUUUGCAGAGGGAUAGCCCAGAGAAAUUUGGAUUAAUAACUCAUAGUAUGUGAGAAUGGCAUCAUUUUCACAUUAAAGUCACAACGGCAAAAGAUGAGCAUGCGUCCCAUUAGCUUGUUGGUAAGGUAACGUCUUACCAAGGCAACGAUGGGUAGGGGUCCUGAGAGGGAGAGCCCCCACACUGGUACUGAGACACGGACCCGACUCCUACGGGGGGCAGCAGUGAGGAAUAUUGGACAAUGGGCGCAAGCCUGAUCCAGCCAUGCCGCGUGCAGGAUGACGGUCCUAUGGAUUGUAAACUGCUUUUGUACAGGAAGAAACACUGGUUCGUGAACCGGCUUGACGGUACUGUAAGAAUAAGGAUCGGCUAACUCCGUGCCAGCCGCCGCCGUAACAC